GGUAUCCACACACCGAGCAGAGACUCUCUGGAUGUCAGUCACUUUCAGCGAACAGACGGUAAUCCCCCACCUCAUCCACCCCACCCCUCUCCAAACAGCAGCAACCGGAGGCAGGAGGGGGGCAAAACCACACGGGACACCUGUACACUGCCGGACGCCUCCCCUUCUGAUUUCUUUCACUUUCACUCCCAGAAUAAGCGGCGGAUUUGCGCUUUAAACCGCGGAUUCAUCCCGCAGCAGCUCGCAGGAGGUCCGCGGAUGGAGACGCGCUUUGAAGGCGGAGGUCUGCUGGUGUUCACGUAGCAGCGGCUGCAGGGUCGUGCCGCAUUGUCCGGCCGCUUCGAGCGACGCUCGGGGAGACGGGGAUGCUGCCGUCGUCAGUGAGUCACAGAUCGGGAGAGAAAGCGCGGAGCGGCUUUGACAUGGAGGCGAGCGGCUGUCGCUCAGGCCACCCGGAUCAGCAGCAGGUUGGUGCAGCCUGAAGCUCCCGGCGGACGUCGCUUCAUCAUCUGCAUGCUGGGAAAUUAUAAUAAAGUUCAAAUCUUGUUUUUUUUAAAAAAAAUGAUUGUGUGCGUAAAGUGAGUGGCCCAUAUGCAGAAAAUGCAUCACAGAAUGAGAGCAGCGGCGGCGUCUGUGCCAGUUCAGGGUGGAUUACGUGUUCAGAGCAGCAGGCCUCCAUCUGAAGUCAGCCACUGAUCACUAAACGCUCUCCGUCCACUUCCCUGCCCUGUUGCUAACCGAUUCCUCAGCUGGUUCACCAGAACCCCCCACGGAGGGACAGCUGUUGCAAACAAUGACUCACCUGCAGGCUGGCCUCUCUCCGGAGACCCUGGAGAAGGCCAAGGUGGAGCUGAAGGAAAACCCGGAGACUCUCCACCAGGACAUCCAGGAGGUCCGGGACAUGAUCAUCACCCGGCCGGACAUCGGCUUCCUCAGGACAGACGACGCCUUCAUCCUCAGAUUCCUCAGAGCGAGGAAAUUCAACCACUUUGAGGCGUUCCGGCUGCUGGCACAGUACUUCGAGUACAGGCAGCAGAACCUGGACAUGUUCAAGAACCUGAAGGCCACCGACCCGGGCAUCAAGCAGGCUCUGAAGGACGGCUUCCCGGGAGUCCUCUCCAAUCUGGACAAAUACGGCAGGAAGAUCCUGGUCCUGUUUGCAGCCAACUGGGACCAGAGCAGAUACACGUUUGUGGACAUCCUGCGAGCCAUCCUGCUGUCUCUGGAGUCCAUGAUCGAAGACCCGGAGCUGCAGGUGAACGGCUUCAUCCUCAUCAUCGACUGGAGCAACUUCACCUUCAAGCAGGCCUCCAAGCUGACCCCCAGCAUGCUGCGGCUGGCCAUCGAGGGGCUGCAGGACAGUUUUCCUGCGAGGUUCGGAGGAAUCCACUUUGUGAACCAGCCCUGGUACAUCCACGCCCUCUACACGGUCAUCCGACCCUUUCUCAAAGACAAGACCAGGAAAAGGAUUUUCAUGCACGGUAACAACCUGAACAGCCUCCACCAGCUGAUCCACCCGGAGAUCCUGCCGUCAGAGCUGGGUGGGAUGAUGCCGCCGUACGAUAUGGGGACGUGGGCGCGCACGCUGCUGGACCACGCCUACGACGAGGAGACGGACUACUGCCCAGAGUCCUACACUCUGUCGGUGCAGGACCUGGAGAGAGACCUGGAGAAAAACAUGUCCCCAAAGACCAUGAAGAGGUCUCAGUCGGUGGUGGAGCCAGGAGUCCUGAAGAGACCCGACAAGGUGAAGAGUGAAGAAGACAACCUGCAGCCGCUGCUGUCGUUGGACUAAACGCCCAAAGUUACAGCAGAGAAGCAGAAAUAGAUCAAUAUUUCAGUUCCUAAGAACGUACCUGUGCACAUACCGGAAGCAACUCAUCCUGCAGAAAGACGUUCCUUCAAACUUUACGGAAAGCAGCAGGAACACGUCCAGAAACCGACGAGCUUCUGAUGGUCCUCUAUACAGUAUAUUUAUUUAUGUAGUUUCAUGUCAAGUGCCAAUUCCAGAAACUGUAAAUAUGAAGUCUUUAAACAAUCCAGAGCGGAGCAGGGAAGGCUGGUCUAAAACCGACGUGUGGAGGUAACGGUUCCCACGGUUACUACAGGAGGACGGAUGUGUGAAAACUGCAAAGCAUAUUUCAAAGAGGGCUUCAGGCUUUUUGAUAUCUUUCUGAAGAAAAACUCUGCACACGGACAAGAAGGGGGCCGCAGAAAAACAGACACUGCUUGUUUUCUUGUAAGAUUUUUCCAAUGACAAUACUGUCUAAAAUUUCCGUCUCUCUCCAGUUAUCUUUUGGAAAAGCAAACCUCCCUUUACGAGUUUAUUGAAAUGCAUCCGGCUCUGAUGGAGUUUGAUAAACGGCUGUUACAGUUUCUCCACAUCAGGCGAAUGAAGUGCAAAGCUUCAACCAGUGAAUGUCAGCAGCGUCUCUCCGGCUGGGAAACGGGCAGCCGGGCGGGUCCAGUGCGGUCCGCUCCGAGGCAGAGAGCGUCAGGCGUCCGGCUGAACGCGGAGCGACAGCUGGGAUGUUCAACCAGCAGACGCUGCUCAGCAUCAGCCGCGCUGAGAGCAGCCAGGCCUCCUGAUCCGCUGCUAAAUCACAGACAAUAACCAGCCGCUCUGAGGUUCACACUUUCAUUCACUGAAUUUAUAAUCAGUUUGUCCCUCUGAGCAAAAAGCUGCUCAAAAUUUGCAAUAAUUUGACUCUGACGGUUCCAGCAUGAAAAGAAUUUGACGGUGUAUUUUUCACAAUGAAACAUUUCACACUUAUUUACAUUUUUUUACAUAAAAUUAUACAAAUUUGAGAUUAUAAUUUUCUUUCAGGUCCACCUCAAGUGUGAGGGUAAUAUGCAGCAUAUCUUGAUGCGAAGAUUUACAGUAGGUCUAAAAGUUUCAAAUCUUUUUAAUGCUAAAUUUACUUCAAAUUCCUGUAAAAAAAAUUAUUUGUCAUUUCUUCCCCUAAAUUUGAAGUCCUUAAUUACAUGUUGGAUUAUCAAUUUGCCUCUACAGAAUCCCCAUCACUGCCACGUAGAGGUAUUAAAACUUUGGAGCUUCAGCAGCCAAUACAGUCCUGCUUUCACCAGAGAUUUACAGAAAAUAAAUACAUUUUGGAAAACAUUUCAUGACGUUAAGCAGCCAUUUUUAAAAAUGAGUCAUGCUAAACCUGCAUCACUGAGGAUGUGGCUGAAAUAUAAUAGAAACUACACUAACAACAAGAAUUAGUCUAAGUUUAGACAUGAAUAUUGAUCAUUUAAUAGUUUUUGAUCUGGACCUCAGUCUUCAUGCUAUUAAACUAAUUGGUAAAUCCACUUUUUAAGAGAUGUAGCUAAUACUUUGAAAUUGACAUAUUUGGGCCAUAAGGAGUUUAAUCUGAUUUAAUCAAAGUUUAUGUUUGGGGUAUAAAGUUUCUAUAAAGAACAUAAAUCUUCUCUAUAAAUUGGGUAAAAUUGUUAACAGUUUUGAAUGAAUUUAAGGAAGAAACACUUUAAGCUAUAAACUUAAACAGUUAACAUUUAUUUCACCAGUUGUUCUAGUCAAAUGUUGUUUAAUGAUCCAGCCAAAUAUAUUCUGGUUUAAAAAGAGGAACACUUCCUGUUUUGUUAAUAUUAAUCUAGUUUACGUUUUAGAGUUUUUUGCAAAAAAAAAAAGCAAAAUAAUCUCAAAAGGAAGCAGGUCCACUAACGGGCAAAAUCUGAAUCUGAGAAAAUGUAACAAUCCUUCACAGAAGCUACCAGGUGCUUAGACUUUAUUUUCUGCACAUAAACAAACACCUUGGAUGUAUUUUUUCAAACAGCAUGGUGGGGGUCAGAGGUCAGGAGGUGUAAAGACAAACAGGGACACACACUCUCACACACUCUCACACACACACUGUAGAUGCUUCCAGUUGUUGGGAUUAAAUGUUUACAUGAACUAAACAUGUACACUGCUUGAAUAUCGCUCCACUCCGAGAACUCAGAGCCUCCUGCUGCUCCACCGAAGGUUUCUAAGGUUACAGUGACAGAAGUGAAUUUCACUGGUUGACAGUAUUUAACAGAUGGUUAUACAGAAGAUCUUUAAUUUUACAGAAAGAAAUGUCUUUUCCGGUAAUUCCUCACUGAACAUUUAAUAUUAUUUGAUGUUUAUUUUGUCAGUAUUUUUAUGGAAAUUGCUAAUGUUUAUUAUAAAAACGUCAGAUGUGUGCUUUUUAAACUGUAAGCAGUCUGAAAUAAGUUUCAUAUGUAAGAAAUUCAGCAUUUUGAAUGUUUUUCUACAUGAUGUUUUGUCUUUCUUCCCAAAGUUUUCAUCAGAAUUUUAAACCUUAAAAAAAAUCUAAAAACCACCUAAGAUGCCACCCUGGAGGUUCACAGAUCUUCAUACACAUUUACCAAAACAUUUUAGAUCUUUACAAUGCACUAUAUCAUAAAAAGUAACAGCAGUCUUUAAAAAGUCACGUUUUGUAAUUUAUUUUAUUAAAAAAUGUGCAGCUCAGCUUAUUUUCUCCUGAAAAUAUACAGCGUCGUCACAUUUAGUCACACCUGAAAAAGAUUUGUGUAAAUGACUAAAAUUAACUUUAGAUUGCAGAAGCUAAAUCUGACAUUUUUCUGUCUGAUUUCAGAAUCUGAAUGAUCUGGUCAAAUUGUGCCCACAGAAUAAGAAAGAAGACAAUCCAUCCCAGUGCAGCAGAUGUGUGUUUGUCUCCAUAAGCCAGAAAAUGCUACAAAAAAACUAAAGUUAGCAUACAGUUACAAUUUGAGAAAAAAAAUCUAAAGUUUUUGUGCAAGGAUGAGGUGGUUUUCACAUCGUAUCGAAAUUAGUGUAUUUCAUAAAACUCUAAUGGAAACUUUUUUUUUUCAACCAGAUGUUACUAAUGGUGGAAAAGACAAAAGAAGAAGGCAGGAAGUAGUUGGAGGAUGAUGGAGUGGUGUAAUCUUUACUGACUUACUGCAUAAACAAACAUAUUCACACAAUUGCAAAAUUAUUGAUAUUCCACAAGAACACAAAGUUUUGCGUACAUUUGUAAUGAAAAUGCAGCUGCUGUUUCUAAAACACAGGAACCUCCAGGAUGGUAACUGAUGUGGUUUGCAUCUUUUGUUUCACUCAUGCUAAUCAGUAAACCAGACACAGCGCUGAAGCUUCACUUGUUUGAAGUAUUUCUUAACUCGCCUUCUAUCAGUAGGUUUGUUUUCAGUGACAUCCAGUAAAGAAAAUCCUCCUGGCUUUUAUGAACUUGAGUUGAAUAACUUUCCACUGAUUUAAUCAUCUUUUUUCCCGAUUUAAAGCUUCCAGCAGUGACAACUCUCUGCAUAGAGCCUGCUUAAUGAAGAUUUGGGAUUCAUUCAUUCUUUCUUCUGCUCUCCAUCACGCUCUUGUUACUCAGUAUUUUGUAAUAAUCGAUAGUCUGUAAGCGGUUUAAUUCUCACUGACUUUGAAUUGUGUUAUGUCUCUGCCAAAGCCACUUGUUCCACUGAGAAUCUAAUGUAUUGUUUCUGAUCAUUAAGUAUUUGUGCACUGAUGACAUUGAAUGAUCUUUUCUUACUGAUUGGUAAUUUCUUGAGGAGAAAAGAAACGAAUGCAUAAUUUUGAGUUUACUCACUUCUUCUUUUCUCACAGUUUUUUGAUUGUAUAGUUGCAGUAGGAAAACCACACUGAAGCAGAAAUGUGAAGUUAUUAUGGAAAGCCAGUAUAUUAUAGGAGCAAAAACUGUCCAGUUAGCAGGUGUUCUGUGUGUAAAUGUCCUCAAAGACAAUUUGCUGAAAUGUAAAAUGAUCAAAAUAAAUAUGGACAUGCAGAUUUUCUCA